UCCGAGUUGACCCCGGCAGUCUCCUAUGAGUCCCCACCAUCACGUGCUGGCAACAUAGAACGAGGGUUGCGCUCGUUGCGGGACUUAACCCAACAUCUCACGACACGAGCUGACGACAACCAUGCACCACCUGUAAACCGGCCGCAAGCGGGGCACCUGUUUCCAGGUCUUUCCGGUUCAUGUCAAGCCUUGGUAAGGUUCUUCGCGUUGCAUCGAAUUAAUCCGCAUGCUCCGCCGCUUGUGCGGGCCCCCGUCAAUUCCUUUGAGUUUCAGUCUUGCGACCGUACUCCCCAGGCGGCGAACUUAACGCGUUAGCUUCGAUACUGCGUGCCAAAUUGCACCCAACAUCCAGUUCGCAUCGUUUAGGGCGUGGACUAC
rnacentral:misc_RNA from 1 species